rnacentral:rRNA from 1 species
AACGAACGCUGGCGGCAUGCCUAACACAUGCAAGUCGAACGAGACCUUCGGGUCUAGUGGCGCACGGGUGCGUAACGCGUGGGAAUCUGCCCUUCGGUUCGGAAUAACUCAGGGAAACUUGAGCUAAUACCGGAUAAUGACGUAAGUCCAAAGAUUUAUCGCCGAAGGAUGAGCCCGCGUAGGAUUAGCUUGUUGGUGGGGUAAUGGCCCACCAAGGCGACGAUCCUUAGCUGGUCUGAGAGGAUGAUCAGCCACACUGGGACUGAGACACGGCCCAGACUCCUACGGGAGGCAGCAGUGGGGAAUAUUGGACAAUGGGCGAAAGCCUGAUCCAGCAAUGCCGCGUGAGUGAUGAAGGCCUUAGGGUUGUAAAGCACUUUCUGUAGAGAUGAGCAAGGACAGUAUCUCAGGAAUAAGUCUCGGCUAACUACGUGCCAGCAGCCGCGGUAAUGUAGUCGU